rnacentral:misc_RNA from 1 species
UACGAAGGGGGCUAGCGUUGUUCGGAUUUACUGGGCGUAAAGGGCGCGUAGGCGGGCCGAUAAGUCAGGGGUGAAAUCCCAAGGCUCAACCUUGGAACUGCCUUUGAUACUGUCGGCCUUGAGUCCGGGAGAGGUGAGUGGAACUGCGAGUGUAGAGGUGAAAUUCGUAGAUAUUCGCAAGAACACCAGUGGCGAAGGCGGCUCACUGGCCCGGAACUGACGCUGAGGCGCGAAAGCGUGGGGAGCAAACAGG